rnacentral:rRNA from 1 species
CCUACGGGUGGCAGCAGUGGGGAAUAUUGGGCAAUGGGCGCAAGCCUGACCCAGCAACGCCGCGUGAAGGAAGAAGGCCCUCGGGUUGUAAACUUCUUUUAUUCGGGACGUAAAAAAUGACGCUACCGAAUGAAUAAGCCACGGCUAACUACGUGCAAGCAGCCGCGGUAAUGCGGAGGUGGCAAUCGUUAUCCGGAUUUACUUGGUGUAAAGGGCGUGUAGGCGGGAUGGUAAGUCAGACGUGAAAGUCUAGGGCUCAACCCUGGAACUGCGUGUGAAAUGGUUAUUCUUGAGUUAUGGGGAGGCAGGCGGAAUUCGUGGUGUAGCGGUGAAAUGCGUAGAUAGAAGGAGGAACACCAGUGGCGAAGGCGGCCUGCUGGACAUUAACUGACGUUGAGGCGCGAAAGCGUGGGGAGCAAACAGGAUUAGAUACCCUAGUAGUC